AGUGAACGCUGGCGGCAUGCCUUACACAUGCAAGUCGAACGGCAGCACGGUUGCUUGCACCUGGUGGCGAGUGGCGAACGGGUGAGUAAUACAUCGGAACAUGUCCUGUAGUGGGGGAUAGCCCUGCGAAAGCCGGAUUAAUACCGCAUACGAUCUACGGCUGAGAGCGGGGGCCCGUCGUGCCUCGCCCUUUAGGGUUGGCCGAUGGCGGAUUAGCUAGUUGGUGGGGUAAAGGCCUACCAAGGCGACGAUCAGUAGCUGGUCUGAGAGGACGACCAGCCACACUGGGACUGAGACACGGCCCAGACUCCUACGGGAGGCAGCAGUGGGGAAUUUUGGACAAUGGGCGAAAGCCUGAUCCAGCAAUGCCGCGUGUGUGAAGAAGGCCUUCGGGUUGUAAAGCACUUUUGUCGGGAAAGAAAUCCUUGGCCCUAAUACGGUCGGGGGAUGACGGUACCGGAAGAAUAAGCACCGGCUAACUACGUG
rnacentral:rRNA from 1 species